GACGAACGCUGGCGGCGUGCUUAACACAUGCAAGUCGAACGGAAAGGCCCUGCUUUUGUGGGGUGCUCGAGUGGCGAACGGGUGAGUAACACGUGAGUAACCUGCCCUUGACUUUGGGAUAACUUCAGGAAACUGGGGCUAAUACCGGAUAGGAGCUCCUGCUGCAUGGUGGGGGUUGGAAAGUUUCGGCGGUUGGGGAUGGACUCGCGGCUUAUCAGCUUGUUGGUGGGGUAGUGGCUUACCAAGGCUUUGACGGGUAGCCGGCCUGAGAGGGUGACCGGCCACAUUGGGACUGAGAUACGGCCCAGCCUCCUACGGGAGGCAGCAGUGGGGAAUAUUGCACAAUGGGCGGAAGCCUGAUGCAGCAACGCCGCGUGCGGGAUGACGGCCUUCGGGUUGUAAACCGCUUUCGCCUGUGACGAAGCGUGAGUGGCGGUAAUGGGUAAAGAAGCACCGGCUAACUCCGUG
rnacentral:rRNA from 1 species